rnacentral:rRNA from 1 species
UUACCAGGCUUGACAUCCCUGACCGCGUAUGAAAGUACGUUUUCACCCUCGGGUGACAGGGAGACAGGUGGUGCAUGGUUGUCGUCAGCUCGUGUCGUGAGAUGUUGGGUUAAGUCCCGCAACGAGCGCAACCCUUGUCAUUAGUUGCUACCGCAAGGAGCACUCUAAUGAGACUGCCGGUGACAAACCGGAGGAAGUGGGAUGACGUCAAAUCAUCAUGCCCCUUAUGACCUGGGCUACACACGUGCUACAAUGGUUGGUACAACGAGUUGCGAGUCGGUGACGGCGAGCUAAUCUCUUAAAGCCAAUCUCAGUUCGGAUUGUAGGCUGCAACUCGCCUACAUGAAGUCGGAAUCGCUAGUAAUCGCGGAUCAGCACGCCGCGGUGAAUACGUUCCCGGGCCUU